CGCCUGUUUAUCAAAAACAUCUCUUCUCGUUAGUUUUUGAAGUAUGGCCUGCCCACUGACCUUGAAUGUUGAAGGGCCGCGGUAUUUUGACCGUGCAAAGGUAGCAUAGUCAUUAGUUCUUUAAUUGUGAUCUGGUAUGAAUGGCUUGACGAGGCAUGAGCUGUCUUAAUUUUGAAUUGUUUAUUGAAUUUGGUCUUUGAGUUAAAAUUCUUAGAUGUUUUUAUGGGACGAGAAGACCCUAUAGAGUUUUACAUUUAUUAUGGUCUCUUUCUGUUUGUGAGGGUUCACUAGGGCUGUCUAAUAUGUUUUGUUGGGGUGAUGGGAGGGAUAUUGUUUAACCCCUCCUUUAUGUUGUUAUAUUUAUUUAUAUUUGCUUGAUCCAUUUAUUUUGAUUGUAAGAUUAAAUUACCUUAGGGAUAACAGCGUAA
rnacentral:rRNA from 1 species